AGAAUGCCUCCUGAGUCGGGCACUGUUCUAGGGCUGCAGGCGUGAAACCAGGCGGAAGUCUCUGCCCUCGUGAAGCCUGCCUCAAAUGAGUUGUCAAGCAAGUGCCAGGGCAGAAAGCACAGAGAGCGCCCACCUCCUGUCAGAGAGCCGAGGCGAACGACAGGACCAGAUUUCUGUUUGAAGAUGGUCAUCACCGUGUACACCCACGUUCAGCAUUCUCAGCCCUGAAGGGGGAAGAAACGUCCCAUCCCUCAGAAUCUGUGCGGUCUGGUACAUGAAUCGACUGUCACCUAGUCUGUGAAGUAUAGUAGCCUAUUUUCAUUUUACAUCUUGCAGAGCUGUUAUCACAUUACUACCUUUUUGAUUGAAAUGUCCACAAUGAAGUACUCUACAAUGGAGUUUCUACAAAUGACGGAUAAAUUAAUUAACGACAACUCUGUGCAUAACUAUGAAUACAGUCCCCAUUUUAAAGGUGAGAAACUGAGCCCCAGGAAGGCUUUGUAACUUGACCAGAGUCACAUGUUUGUGAGUAGCAAAACCAAGCAGGACCCUGCGGGGCUCCUGGUCUCGGAAGCCUUUCGGUCCCCCAUUUCUUGUUUGUAGGCAGCAGGCUCCAGCGUCCAUGGGCUUCCCAUGGAGCUUCAAACAGUUGCUAAUCAGGGAAGGGAGGGGAUGCAGAGGCAAGGGAAGAGCAGUCAGGCAACAAUGGUGCAGCCUUGGGGCAGGGUCCCGGUUCCCCCUCCAGGGAUGCACAGAACAAUGUCUUUGAGUUGUUUACAGAACUAAACCCCCAUCAAAUGGAAGAUGAAGCAUUCUUCAUUCCGGAAGACAGGAAGCACAGAAGCUCAUCAGGAGACCUCCUGAGGCCAGAUGAAAGGAGCACAGGCCCUGCUCACACCCUGAUCCUUAUCGGCAACCCCGCCCUGGAACCAUUGCUAUAAAACUCCUCACCAAAUCCUCCUGGUUGGGACACACAGUUUUCAAAGGCCGGAGCCUGCUGUGUCCCCCUUUGCCUGGAAAAGUAAUAAAGCUCUUCUUUUCUACGUCACGCAGCUGUGUCUCUGAGAUUCCAUUCAGCACCGGUGCACAGAGGUGGAGUUUUCUGCAUCAGGAUUGAAGCCAGAAUUGGAAUGCGGGUACUUGGUUCCGGUGCUGGCACUUUAAACCAUCACGUUUUCAUUCCUCCACGAGUGUCUCCAAAAAGACAUCUCAGACUUACGAAAUGUACAUUUAUAUUAAGCACUUGGUGUUUAUUUUAUGACUCUACACCGUUUUAGUCAUAAAUAUGUAACUUAAAAAUUCUACUGCCAACAACAAACAUACAUCAUUUUGAUUCUGGUCUCACAUCAAAAGGACAGUGCCCCAAGCCUACAGGAACUAGGCACUCAGUCAAUGAAACCAUCACGGUGUCUUAGAUGGAAUACCCUUUUUAGUGGCUAUAGAAAUGUGAAAUGAAUCUCCUGAAACCAUCCAAAGGGAAAAGGGUCUGUUGCCCUGAUUCUUAGCGAGAAGACUUUGCCAUAAAAUUGCCUUUUCUGUGUUCCUGGGUCUGACGACCUGUGAUGAAGGAAAAGCAUGAUUUGUAUUCACAUCAGUUUCUGAAGGACAGAAGUAGGAAAAAGCAAAGGCAGUGAGGUGACUAACUUGUUUCUGGGGAAAGGUGAACGUUCUAAGUAGGAGACAGAGUUUCUGUUACCGCUAACCUUGAGAUCAUCAUGGACUUGACCAAGACGGCAAUCUGUCGGGAGCUUCGAUGCAUGCAUGCUGCUGGACCCAAGAAGCUACAAGCACUUAACUCUGCGUGUGUGCACUUCCAUGUUGAACACAUCCUUUAAUAGCUGGUGAGUGAAAUAAACAAAAGUAUGACGUAGCCAAAUGCAGUUACACCCAUGAUAAAUCUUCGUGGAAGAAAAAUGAAUGAGGCGCAGCUUCUUCUGACACAGUGGCGGAGACCGGACCGUGUGGAGUUCAUUUUCGUGCUUGGCUGUCAGUCAGAGUUGGGGAGCUUGUAAACGGAAGAGCUGAAUUAUGGAAAACAAGAGUCAAAGUGUACAAAUCUCUAGGCUCACACCUAAGUGAAAAUUAUUCAUGUAAUUUUAUUUAUUUGAUGAGCUGAAAGAAGACCAGGUGAGCACGUUCCAAAAUGGAAGCAAUGCAGAAUCUGUCUUUGCAGAAGUCCUACGGUAAUACUCAUUCCAAUAUUACAAGGUUAUUUCUAAAGCCUGGCAAACAGCCCAAUUCGUAUUGCCUGAAUGGUUUAAAUAGAGUUUUGAGAGAAAAAUCUUAUGUAACAGAUGGUUCACAAGACUCUAAUAGCCAAUCUGUUAUAGCCAA